AGCUUUACACAGUGACAGUAUCACAGCCAAUGAGGUUUAUCUGAGGCAUGAUUAUUGCUAAUGGAAAACAUUCAUGACAGUGUUACAGUAGAAAAAUUAAAAACACCAAAUUUUCCAAUGUUUGGAAUAUAAUUCCUAUUUAU
ensembl:snRNA U4 U4 spliceosomal RNA